rnacentral:rRNA from 1 species
GACGAACGCUGGCGGCGUGGAUUAGGCAUGCAAGUCGAACGGUAUCAUCCUUUCGGGGGUGAGAGAGUGGCGAACUGGUGAGUAACACGUAGGUUAUCUACCCUCAAGACGGGGACAACCCAGGGAAACUUGGGCUAAUACCGGAUGUGAGCAACUUUUAGUUGUUUGAAAGGUGGCGUAAGCUGUCGCUUGGGGAUGAGCCUGCGUCCUAUUAGUUAGUUGGUGAGGUAACGGCUCACCUAGGCAAUGAUAGGUAGGCGGCCUUAACGGGUGGUCGCCCACACUGGGAUUGAGAUACGGCCCAGACUCCUACGGGAGGCAGCAGUCGAGAAUAGUCUACAAUGGUCGGAAGACUGAUAGUGCGACGCCGCGUGAACGAUGAAUCCCUUCGGGGUGUAAAGUUCUUUUAUAUGUGAGCAGUGCUUCUUAUAUUAAACAGUAUGGGGAGAGAGAUAUUAGCAUAUGAAUAAGUAACGGCUAACUCCGUGCCAGCAGCCGCGGUAAUCUCGU